GUAGAUAGAUGCUCGCUGGUUUGAGUGCUUAGCUGUUAACUAAGAGUUUAAAGGAUCGAGGCCUUUCUAUCUAG
rnacentral:tRNA from 2 species